AGUCUGUGAUGAGGGAUUAAUAUCUGCUACUUUUGAUGGCAAAUGACAAUGGCCAUCUGAUGAUUUUUAGUCCACCAAGAUCUCUGAGACU